GCAAAUAUUUCAUCAUCAUUUUAUCAUGUCAAUAACAAGGAUGGCAAGUACAUGACUGCCCAGUACAUCAAACUUUGUGAACAAUCUACUUGCUAACUAUGAUAGCAAUCAUAGUGGCAAAUAGGACAAGAUACAACAGACCUCCAAAUCCUAAAAUCCUUUCCCUAUGAGCAAUGUUUCCUUCUGCAUCUUAACCAUUGCUCUCUUUUCUUUCUUAUUCCUUUUAAUUUCUACUUCAAAUUUUGUAAUCUUAGUCUCUAGUUUCUUCUUCUUCAUGGAAAGAUACUUAAUGACUGACUUUUCUUUGCUAUCCCACUCCCCAUCAACCCAUUCAACAUAAUCACAAGUGCUAGCAUCCUAAAUAAAUCAUGAGCAAUUCAAGUCAAUUUAAAACUAAACUUGACACUUCAAAAAGUUGAAACUGAACUUUUUGUAGCUUGACCACAAUAGCAGUAUUACUUUGAAGUUCAGGCACAGUAGACUAACCUCAAACCCACAUCCCAAGAAUCGCCUGCCAAAUUCUCUGCAUCUAUGCACACACGGCGAGCAGGAGUUUCUUGAUGACCACAAAGAUGGAGCUUCUUAGGGCCACAGUACUCAUGAUCGUGCUCAUAUUUUGGAAGCCCAAAAUCAAAUCCCGGCAGCGGACCAUCCUAUGCAAAUGGCAGUUUACAGAACACGCAACAGUGAAGAGAUGUACGAAAAAAACAGGUCAUGAAUUCUGGGCAAAAAUGCUAGGAUGUAAAUAACUUACCUUAUUGCACCGAAGUGAAGCACUGAAGAGACCCUAGCGGUCGGUUCUCCCGGCCCGCCGCCGCCUAGGAAACCCUCGUCCCCUGUUCCACUGGAUCCGCCGCUGCCUCCUAUGCCACUGAAUCCGCCGCCCUACUUCUAGCACCCAGGGUACCACCAAACAUGUGGUCACCACCGCUCUUCUUGCCGCGGCCGCCGUCGCCGGACGCCCACCUCGCUGUCAUUAUUUCACCGUCGAGAUUUGGAGGGGCAAAGGGAAAGAGAGAGCUAGGGAUUUGGAAACAGAAACGAGAAAAGGGGAAAGAUAUAUGUCAACCUGUCAAAAUGGGCCUGUGUAGCCGUG
rnacentral:lncRNA from 1 species